ACUCCUACGGGAGGCAGCAGUGGGGAAUAUUGCACAAUGGGGGAAACCCUGAUGCAGCCAUGCCGCGUGUGUGAAGAAGGCCUUCGGGUUGUAAAGCACUUUCAGUAGGGAGGAAGGUAGUGUAGUACACCUCACNAUUUGACGUUACCUACAGAAGAAGCACCGGCUAACUCCGUGCCAGCAGCCGCGGUAAUACGGAGGGUGCGAGCGUUAAUCGGAAUUACUGGGCGUAAAGCGCAUGCAGGCGGCCUGUUAAGUCAGAUGUGAAAGCCCGGGGCUCAACCU
rnacentral:rRNA from 1 species